rnacentral:lncRNA from 10 species
AGACAGGAGACUCUGCCACAAAGGCCGGGGGACCAUGGGCUGGUCACCCAGUUCCUGGGCCCCAGGUUCCAACUCUGAAAAGAGAGGGUUGGACACGUGACUUAUAAAUUCCCUUCCAGCCUUAAUGUCCUAAAAUCAUGUAAUUAUAACUUUAAAAUAUUUUGCGGUGGUAAACCUAAAAUGUUUAUAAAAGAGAGUCCAUAAUUUAGAUUUUUCUGCAUUACCUGAAUUUCUGUGACAAGAUGCAGUCUUUAUUGUAGAAAGCUGUUUUAUAGUAUUCUCAUAGAAUUAUUCGGUUUUUAUUUUCCUUGGUUUAAUGUAUUUUUGUUUCUUUCUCUAGCACAUAGAUUUUCCUAUACCAUGUCCACUUAGAAUGUUUGAAAUGCUGGUAGUUCCUGAACAGGAGUACCCUUUAGUUUGUGUUGGUGUCAGUAGAGGUAGAGACUUCAACCAAGUGGUUCGAUUUGAGACGGUCAAUCCAAAUUCUACCUCUUCAUGGUUUACAGAAUCAGAUACCCCACAGACAAAUGUUACUCAUGUAACCCAACUGGAGAGAGAUACCAUCCUUGUAUGCUUG